GGAGAGGAAAGUAUCUGGAUAUGCAUUAGGUGCAUGAACCAGAAUGGUAAACCUCUUAUUAUUUUAGAUUUAUUUUCUGAAUGGGAUACGUGGAAAAGAAUGAAAGACAAUUUGUGGAUUUUCAUAUUCUACCUAGGUAUAGAAAAGAGAAUAUUAGAAGAUUUUCCUCGGAAAAGGAUGAAUGAUUAAAAAGCAAACCUACAUCCUCCCUUAACUGUACGCAUUGAAUUUCGAUUCUGCAGUGAUAAAACGAGAUGUAUCGUUAUGAGAACUAGCGGCAUGGAUGCGAACGCCGAAGUGUUCGGAAUAUGGAAAAUCUGUUAAGAAAGAGAAAUCCAAAAUGCUCCGUUUGUAAAAAUCCUGAGCAAGUAUCAUUCAAGAUUACAUAAGAUAAGAUCAGG